UGCCUUUUUAGUAUAACAAGUAUAUUUGGCUUCCAACCAGAAGGUCUAGAAUCCUUCUAGAAAAGGCA
rnacentral:tRNA from 1 species